AAAGGGAUCGAUUUAGCCAUGCUAGUUGCACGAGUUCAGACUCGUAGCAGAUAGCUCAGUAACACGUGGCCAAACUACCCUAUGGAUCCGAAUAACCUCGGGAAACUGAGGCUAAUGCGGAAUAGCGUUCAUCGCCUGGAGUGGCACGAACGCGAAACGUUACGGCGCCAUAGGAUGUGGCUGCGGCCGAUUAGGUAGACGGUGGGGUAACGGCCCACCGUGCCCAUAAUCGGUACGGGUUGUGAGAGCAAGAGCCCGGAGACGGUAUCUGAGACAAGAUACCGGGCCCUACGGGGCGCAGCAGGCGCGAAACCUUUACACUGCACGCGAGUGCGAUAAGGGGACUCCGAGUGCGAGGGCAUAUAGUCCUCGCUUUUCACGACCGUAAGGUGGUCGUAGAAUAAGUGCUGGGCAAGACCGGUGCCAGCCGCCGCGGUAAUACCGGCAGCACGAGUGAUGACCGCUAUUAUUGGGCCUAAAGCGUCCGUAGCUGGCCACGCAAGUCUAUCGGGAAAUCCGCGCGCUUAACGCGCGGGCGUCCGGUGGAAACUGCGUGGCUUGGGACCGGAAGACCAGAGGGGUACGUCCGGGGUAGGAGUGAAAUCCCGUAAUCCUGGACGGACCACCGGUGGCGAAAGCGCCUCUGGAAGACGGAUCCGACGGUGAGGGACGAAAGCUCGGGUCACGAACCGGAUUAGAU
rnacentral:rRNA from 1 species